rnacentral:lncRNA from 1 species
UCGACAACCCACCCUGUGGUACGGUUCGGCACUGGUAGCAUUUUUCAUCACACUCCUAGUCACUAUACCGAACCUGACAAGCAUCCUCGUCUGUCGAUUCUUCAUCGGUUUCUUCACAAUGUUCAUAUAUUCGCCUAUAUACACCUUGGGUUUAGAAUUCUGCCCGACGCCCUUGCGGUCGGCAUUCGGCGUAUGCAUGGCUUUGCCAUACGCCGUAAUGCUUAGCCUGUUAGCCGGACUGGCUUAUGCAUGUCCGGACUGGCGGAUGCUACAGCUAGCUGGUUCUUUUCCUCUCGCAUUACUGCUUCUUUUAAGCAAUCCUUUUUUAUUGAAAGACUCUCCACGUUGGCUUGUUACUAGAGGACGGCUUAAAGAAGCCGAAGCAU